ensembl:lncRNA
UGAGGCUCCGUUCUUAUUUAACCGAUUUAGCAUCUUUUCUGCUAUUUCCUGUUGAACAUCAGCAGAGCGCGUUGACACCGGCAGAAGUAAUCUGACCUACGCUCAGGCAUGCUGUCCAGCUCCAGCAACUUAACGAGUUACUGCACCUUAGCUGAGGCAUGGUAACUGCAGUGUGCUUUUCUCUAGCCUGCAGCAGAUGUGAGGCUCAAUGUGUCAGCUCAACCUCAGGGGCAAGAAAAAGAGAAGUUGAAACUGGUUUCUUCCAUCUGAGAUGGCCACAGGCGAAGAGCAAACACACUUGGUCAAUUACCGUGGCUCAGAUGAUGCAUGGUAUUGCCAUUUUCAGGUCAAAUUUUAGAGUUAGUAGGAACUUUUCCAUGGGCUUUGUACAACAAUAUUCCACUGCGCACAGUGAGAAGUUUGAACACCCUUCGUUUCAGCGUCUAAUUUUGAGAUGAACUUGUAUCUUUCUUAAAAAAACAAAACAACAAGACCACCAAUAGCAAAAGAAAACCACCGGCCCCAAACUUUCACCUUUCUUCUCAGGUAAGACCUGUUUUCUUACUCCACUCUGUGGGAAAACUAAGAAUACGUUAGCUUAUUUCCAACUGUGAUUUGCUAAACUGAAGCUAAAGAUGGAAGAAUUCCAAACCUAGCAGUCUGGACCCUCUCAAACUAUGACUGGGGCCAGGGAAACAAGGUACCAGACAUCAAAACUUUGGAUGCUUUUUUUCUUUUCAUGUAGUAACUGAAACUCAGUUCAUCUUUCUCUGCUUCCACGUAAUACAAGGAAAGACAUUUGAUUAGAUUAUGUGAGAUACUUUUUAAGGCAGAUGGAUUCAACACAUGGCUGCAGGACCAGGCUUUAUUAUCUCGACUAACGUGGACACAUUUUGAACACUGCUUCUCACUCUGCCAUCAGCCGCCACCACCUCUGCAGUACUGUGACAGCAAGAGAAAAAGGACAGGGAAGUGAUAAAGUUUGCACACGUAAGCAGAAAAGAACUUUCUGUCCAAAGCCAGCUGGCUUGGCUUGGCACUGAAGUGGCAUUUUAGCACAAGAUGACACGUUUAUGCGUGUACUGGAGCUAUGUUUCAAAACACUUGCCCUAGAUGCCACAGGAAGGGUCUGUGAAAUAGUUUAUCACCAAGUAACCAUAGAGAGCAGGUGAGCUGUCUGAAUACCAGUUUGUCUUCUGAGCUGGCAGACAAAUGAAACCACAGGAAGGAAUCAAAGCAAAUAUGCUGCUGCUUUUAAUAAUUAGAAUUGAGCGUAUUUUCAGGGAAGUUUUGGGAAAGCAUGCGAUAAUCCUAUAUCACAGCCAAGAGGACAAUACGUCCAUUAAUAAAUGCCUGAUACCGUUUGCUCUGAUACAAAACUCAGAAAUGCACACCAGCCAAUCCAUGUUAACACAGGUCAUUUCUUUAAGUCUUGUUUUCCAAAUUAGAGCAAACCCGCCAGCAUAAGAUGAAUGGGCAUCUUGCCUUUACCUGAUAAAGUGCCUGAACGAUUAGGGAGGCUGAUGGCUUCUAUAAAUCCUGUGGGACACAGAUCAGUCAUCCCACGUGUAACCCCAAAGAAAUAACUGAAAAUAAAUCACAGCAACAUUUGUACUUUGGAGUCUGGAUACCAUCAUAAAAUGCCAAAAAUGCACCUUGUAUACUGCCCAAGUUUAAAGAUUAAACUUUAUUUCAGAAGUUAACUGCUAUAAAAGUUUCUUUGCUAUAUGUUGCACAUUAUAACAGAUCACGCAGACCUUUUGUGGGCUCUGUGUGUGAAGUUUACAAGACCAGGACAGUAGCAUAUGUCUCGUGUGCAAUUUGAUCAAUAGAGUUUACAGCAAAACAGAUCAAGUCUAGGAAAAAUAAUGCUUAGAUUUACAUGUUAAGAGCAGCACUUGCUGUCUGCAGUGGGAGCCAAGGAUGCUCUGAGCAAGACAGAAUUACCUGCCUUUCAAGAGUUCCACAAGUCAUUUGUCACGAGGUCCCACCAACUUCACAUCUACUUUAAAAAGCAGUUUGAAGACUUUUUAGGUAUUAUGGUCUCCUAUAUCUAUUUCUGUCUCUUUUGUUUCCUAACAGCAUGAGAUACUGACCACACAUACUGCAGUCAAAUAUAGAAAUUAAACCUACAGGAAAAAGGAUGUCUUCUCUUUAAUCUCUUGGAGAAUUUUCCAGACUAAAGCAUAGUUCUUAAAUUGAUAAUAUCCCUUUAAGAAUUUAUUUGCCAGGUAAUGUUAGAAGAAAAAAGAGAUUAGGGCUAGUUUGAACAUUAGAAAGGCCCUUUUUAAAAUCAAUUUCAAGUCUGUAUUAGAGAUGAGCGUUGUCUGAACAUGCUUCCAGCAGAUAAAAUAUAUUCUGCACCUUAGGAACGCAAAUAACUUGAAAAUCCUUGAGACUCCCAGCUCUUUGCAAAAAGGUCAAACUCUAUCCUAAGAAAUAUUUCAUUGCAUAGAAAUAAUGGUUUAGUGUUGCCGUAUAUGAAAGUCAGAAUCUGUAAGGCUACGAAGUUAAUAACAGAUCAAGGGCUGAAGUUUUUGAAUAAUGUAGUAAAUAUUUCUUAAAUGAGUGAAAUGAUACGAUACCACGGGAAGAGAGAAAUGCGUUUUAAUAAAGAAAAUAUUGAAUGUAAGAAUAUUUCUUUAGAUCUACCAUGCAAUCUGUGUGUUCUCUAUGAGAUGUCAAACUACACGGUGCAUAUGUACACUGCGCUCUCUAUAAAUAUACAUGUGCAUGACAUAUUUCUGAAGGCAGUAAAUGAAUGCUGGGGAAAUACGGCAACAAUGAAGUUCCUAAGAGAAGGUUAGUUUUUCAAGUUAUUAAAAGAAGGUGGCAAGCAUUCAUGAGGAUAUGAAAAUUUAAAGCUGUCUGCAGGAAACUCUGAAAACCUCUGGUUAAGGCUGCUGCCAAAAAAUCUCAGCUAUGUUAUGUCAGAAUAUUUAAUUGCAAGCUGCAAUUUUAAUGAAUGGAAAGAUAUGGCAAAAGGAGGAAGUUUUCUGCAGCAACACAGAACAGCCAUGAAAAUAAAAUGCCAAAGGUUGUAAUCUUGGACGCUGUAGGAAUCAGGAAUUUCCAUCCACGUUCUGACUCCUUUUCCUACUGUGAGAGUUUGCCAGCUGCCUGGCUGAAGGGAGGUAAGCUGUUCUG